UGUGUGUGUUGUGUGUGUUCUCUCCAGGCGUGUAUAGAUGAUAACAUGGACAUGGUGACGUUCCUAGUGGAACACGGUGCCUGCAUCAAUCAGCCUGAUAAUGAGGGCUGGAUCCCCCUGCAUGCUGCCGCUUCCUGUGGAUACUUGGACAUCGCAGAGUAUCUGAUCAAUGAGGGUGCGAAUGUGGGCGUGGUUAAUAGUGAGGGAGAGACGCCGCUGGACAUCGCAGAGGAAGAACCAAUGGAGGAGCUGCUGAAAAAUGAAAUCAACAGACAAGGUGUGGAUAUAGAGGCAGCGAGGAAGGAGGAGGAACGUGUCAUGCUACGUGACGCUCGUCAGUGGCUAAACAGCGGGCAAAUCAACGACGUCCGACACACCAAGUCAGGAGGAACCGCGCUGCACGUCGCCGCUGCUAAAGGCUACGCAGAGGUUUUAAAGCUUUUAAUCCAGGCAGGUUAUGAUGUAAAUAUUAAAGAUUAUGACGGCUGGACUCCUCUUCAUGCUGCUGCUCACUGGGGGAAGGAUGAAGCCUGCAGGAUCCUGGUGGAGAACCUGUGUGACAUGGACCUCCUUAAUAAAGUGGGACAGACGGCCUUCGAUGUGGCAGAUGAAGAUGUUCUGGGAUAUUUAGAGGAGUUACAAAAGAAACAGAACCUGCUGAGUGAGAAGAAAGACGCUAAGAAAUCUCCCUUGAUAGAGACCACCACUACAGCAGAUAAUAACCAGUCCACUAAACCUGCUGUGAAGAGUAAAGAGACACUGUUACUAGAGGUGGAGAAGAACGCUCCUCACAUCGAGAACUUGGAGUCAGAGAAAACUGAUGAGGAACUGGAGGGGAAGAAGGACGAGUCCAGCUGCUCCAGUGAAGACGAGGACGAAGACGACUCUGAGUCUGAGAAUGAAGCAGAUAAGACCAAGUCAGCUGCUCCAGUCAGCAACUCCACCAGUUCUGUCCCCGCCCCAGUCUCCACCUCCAGCAACACUCCAACCACGCCCACCUCACCUGUCAAAAAGGUGAGUGUACCUACAGGUAAAGUGUCUCCUAAAGAGGACGAGAGGAAGGAUGAGUCGCCGGCCUCGUGGAGACUGGGCUUGAGGAAGACAGGAAGUUACGGUGCACUGGCAGAGAUCAGUGCAACAAAAGAGGCUCAGAAGGAGAAGGACCUGAGUGGGGUGAUGCGCUCAGCGUCCUCACCACGACUCACCUCCUCACUGGAUAACAAGGACAAGGAGAAGGAAAAGGAGAAGUCUCUGGCGUACGUGGCUCCCACUUUCCCAAGAAGACACCCGAGUGCAUCAGAUAUAGAUGAGAAGGAAAACAGGGACUCAGCAGCUAGUCUGGUGCGAAGUGGUUCUUACACACGGAGACGCUGGGAAGAAGAUCUGAAGAACAACGACACAACCUCCUUAAACCGAACAUCCAGCUACCAACGCAGCACGUCACACACUUUAACACUUGGCCGAAGCAGCAGCUCUCGCGAUCUUCCUGCAAAAUCAUCUUCGGCUUCCAGUCUGGAUCCUAACAGCACUAAAGCUUCAUCGUCCUACUACCAGUCUUACAGCAUACACCGAAGCGGAUCGUUUGGAAGGAGGCAAGAUGAUGCUGUGAGCUCCACUUCCUCUGCUGUUACUACGACGACAAGCUCCACCUCCACUACCACAAUUACCUCACCUACAGGACACCGCAGUGUGCCCAGGUAUUGGUCCGAGGAUGGGGCGGAGAAAGAGAAGGAAUCGGCGACCGUAAUUCCCACCAUUAACACUGCAGCCACCACAACUACCACCACCACCACCACACACACUACUGCAGGAGAUGGCAGAGAGAGACGCAGAUCAUACCUCACUCCUGUGCGUGAUGAGGAGUCCGAGUCUCAGAGGAGAGCUCGAUCUCGACAGGCCAGGCAGUCCAGAAGGUCCACACAGGGAGUGACCUUAACUGACCUCCAGGAGGCGGAGAAGACCAUCGGUCGCAAUCGUCCGCCGCGGUCUCGAGAGGAGGAGAAGGAAAAAGAAGAGAAGGAGAAACAGGACAAGGAGAAGCAGGAGGAGAAGAAGGAGACCGAGCCAAAAGAGGAUGACUAUCGUUCACGCUAUCGCUUUGAGGAGCGAUACCGCACCCCUUCCUUGAGCUCGUCCUCUUCCACUACUGUGCCGUCGUCCUCCGUUACUUCAUCGCUCUACACGUCCUCUUCCUCGCUGAACCGCCCUGACAGUCUGAGUGGAAUCAUACCCAGUUACAGAAGCUCCGCCCGCGACACCGAGAAAGAUAAGAGAGAAGAAGAAAAGGAGGUAGAGGAUAAAAGUCAGCCUCGCUCUAUACGUGAUCGCAGACGUCCUCGAGAGAAACGGCGCUCUACUGGAGUCCCAUUCUGGACACAAGAUAGCGAUGAGAAUGACCCAGAACAGCACUCGGACUCAGAGGAAGGGAGCACUAAAGCAGAAACACAGAGUGAAAGACUCUCGAGAAACGACGGCUCGUCGUCUGGUUCGUCCCUCGCUGAUCAUCACGAGCACAGAGAGAGCCGCCGGUCGUACUCACGACUCGACCGAGAGGACAGCACUGACUACAAGAAGCUUUAUGAACAGAUCCAAGCUGAAAAUGAGAAGCUUAAAUCUCAGUUACGCGACACACAUCUGGAGCUGGAUGAUCUAAAGCGGCAGCUGGAGAGGGCCACACAGGUGAGGGGAUUACAGAGACAGGAGCGCUUUGCUGAUAGAUCACAGCUGGAGAUGGAGAAAAGGGAACGACGAGCUCUAGAAAGAAAGAUCUCUGAGAUGGAGGAGGAACUUAAGAACCUCCCGGAGAUAAAGCAGGUUCAGGCUCUGAGGCAGUAUAAUGAGCGAUUGCAGGCGGAGAACAGAGCUUUGGCCCGAGUUCUCUGCAAACUGCCCGCUGCUGAUCUCUAAGCCCCGCCCAGUUCAUUUACAUGUCACAUAUUGGCUCCACCCUCUCCUGUAGACAGAUGCUUCCUGACUUGAAGGCAGACAACCAGAGGUUAAAGGACGAGAAUGGUGCUCUGAUCCGAGUCAUUAGUAAACUGUCUAAGUAGAGCAGCACCCCCUGUGGUCAGUGUGGGGUAUUGACACGCUGAGACCGCAAAACACAUCCAUCCUCCUUCAUCUGUCCAUCACUCGCUCACUCUGCUCCUCCCCUAACGGCUCACUUCCUUCCUCCAGCCGUGUUUGGUCUGGCUGCUGCAUCGCACACACACACACACGCACACGCACACACACACACACACACACACACACGGUCAGUUUACAAGGCAGAAAGAUGGCUGUAACCCACAUGCUUUCGUUUGUGCAGAAAAAGAGGAAAUAAAGAAAAAAACAGUUUAUUUGGUGCCACAAACUUUCCUUUAUUUUCCUCUUUCAUGUGUAGUGAUUUUAUCUCUCUGCCUCUCUCCCUUUCUCUCUUACUCUGCCUCUCUCCCUCUCUCUCUUACUCUGCCUCCCUCUUUCUCUCUCUAACUCUGUCUCUCUCUCACUCUGAUCCUCCCUUUCAUGUCUAAGCCCCGCCCCCUUUCCUGUCCCUCUGUGGUACUGUUUCUCAGCAGUGGAUUUCCCAGCAUUCUACAGUGUUGGAGCACGAAACCUGAACCCCCGCCAACAGCCCCCUGUCCUCCCCCUCUCUCACACACACACACACACACACACACACACACACACACACACACACACACACACUCUGGUGGAAUGUUGAGCUUUUACUGAAUGUGCAAUACACAUGUGUUCCUUUAGAAACAGCGCUUUAACCUGCAGUAAGAAGAAAAACUUCUCUUGUUUUUUUUUUUUUUCUCCUUCCUUUCAUCCUCCUUUUCUUCCGUGUCACACUUCCUUUUCCUCAUCCAGGCUUUAUUUCUUCGUACUUCCUUUUUCCUUUACCCCCAGUAGUGUGUGUAGUGUUGAGGCGGCGGUGUUAGUUUAAUCGUCACGGUGUUAUUAGCAGGUACUGAGUGCAGCUGUAUAUAAACCCGAGCACACGGCAUGCGUUCAUGCUUUUCUCCUUCUGUUACUGUUCCCAUAUUCGCGGCUCCGCCGGACAAAAGUGUGUUUUAAAUAUUUUGUCUUUUUUUUUUUUGCUUAUUUUUAUAGUGCUGUUGAAUAACGAUAGUGUCGCUGCCCCUCACGUACCGUAGGCUGCGGUAUCGGGGGAGGGGCUCCAGUGCAUCCUUCGGUUUUAAAGAGAAAUAAAUAUUCACCGUUAUUGUGAUAUAAGAAUAAUAUAAUAAGACUUCACUACUUUUCACACGCGUUGAGUGCAUUUCUUCUUCAUCCUCAUCAUCUUUUAUUUGAUGUUCCUCCUCUUCCUCCUCCUCCUCCUCCUCAGUGCUGUUAGUAUUAGCCGAGGUCUCGUCACUAAAAGCUAAAGCCUAGAUAUCGCUAACCCACUCCUUUCUUCCUUUUUCUUUCUUUCUUCUCCUUCUUUUUUAUUUGAGUAAGUAACCCAUCAUCUAUCUGCACUGUCCACGCCACGGCCCGGGGUCCGGGGUCCGAUCCUGGGGGCCGUACUUUAGCGAGAGUCCGAGCGAAUCAGAGAUUUUAUGCAUUUCAGUGGCCUUUUACGAUGCGAAUGCUGUGGUUUAAAGAGCAGAGAGAGAGAAACGCCUGUGGACUCUCUAUCCUGUGGGUUAGCUUUUAACUUUCUUCUUGGUUUUUAUGCUGAUUUUUCCUCCUUUUUUUUUUUAAACACCAUCAUUGUAAAAUAGAUGUGUGGCUUCUCCAUGCGAGCUGUGCUGUGACUACAACCACUGAGAGUUCAAAUAAAGUUGUACAUUGUAAAA